rnacentral:rRNA from 1 species
CUACGGGUUGCUGCAGUGGGGAAUAUUGGACAAUGGGGGAAACCCUGAUCCAGCAAUGCCGCGUGUGUGAAGAAGGCCUGCGGGUUGUAAAGCACUUUCGGUUGGGAGGACUGCUUCUAGCACUAAUAUUGUUGGAAGUUGACGUUACCUUCAGAAGAAGCACCGGCUAACUCCGUGCCAGCAGCCGCGGGUAAUACGGAGGGUGCAAGCGUUAAUCGGAAUUACUGGGCGUAAAGCGCGCGUAGGCGGCUAGAUCAGUCGGGUGUGAAAGCCCCGGGCUUAACCUGGGAACUGCAUCCGAUACUGUCUAGCUUGAGUACAGGGGAGGAGAGUGGAAUUCCACAUGUAGCGGUGAAAUGCGUAGGUAUGUGGAGGAACACCAAUGGCGAAGGCAGCUCUCUGGCCUGAUACUGACGCUGAGGUGCGAAAGCGUGGGGAGCAAACAGGAUUAGAUACCCGUGUAGUC